rnacentral:SRP_RNA from 1 species
AACUGGGCUAGGGGGAGUGCUGGCGUGCUCUGUAUCACAAAUCGUCAAUAUGGUGACCCGAAGUCUGAGGGCGGCGGAGACGAUUUACGGAUGUAUCAUCGGUUGACUAAGAUGCCUCGCCCCCGAGAGAUCGAGGUUGGUGGAGGUCGAUUCCGGAGGGAAUCGAUGACCACGCUGCCCGGGAAUCAGGUCAGGCGCGGAAGCGAGCAGCCCGACCGGGGA